GAUUAACGCUAGCGGCAGGCCUAAUACAUGCAAGUCGAACGGCAGCACGGGUAGCAAUACCUGGUGGCGAGUGGCGCACGGGUGCGUAACGCGUAUGCAAUCUACCUAUAACUGGGGAAUAGCCUUCCGAAAGGAAGAUUAAAACCGCAUAAUAUCACGAAGCGGCAUCGUUUUGUGAUCAAAUCUCCGGAGGUUAUAGAUGAGCAUGCGUGACAUUAGCUAGUUGGUGAGGUAACGGCUCACCAAGGCUACGAUGUCUAGGGGGUCUGAGAGGAUGAUCCCC
rnacentral:rRNA from 1 species